UACGGAGGGUGCAAGCGUUGUCCGGAAUCACUGGGUGUAAAGGGUGCGUAGGCGGCUAAAUAAGUCUGAGGUGAAAGCUUGUAGCUUAACUGCGAAAUUGCCUUUGAUACUGUAUAGCUUGAAAGGAGCUGAGGUCAGCAGAAUGUGGCAUGUAGCGGUGAAAUGCAUAGAUAUGCCAUAGAAUACCAAUUGCGAAGGCAGCUGGCUGGGCUUACUUUGACGCUGAGGCACGAAAGCGUGGGGAUCGAACAGG
rnacentral:rRNA from 1 species